rnacentral:rRNA from 1 species
CCUACGGGAGGCAGCAGUGGGGAAUAUUGCACAAUGGGGGAAACCCUGAUGCAGCGACGCCGCGUGAGUGAAGAAGUAAUUCGUUAUGUAAAGCUCUAUCAGCAGGGAAGAAAAUGACGGUACCUGAGUAAGAAGCCCCGGCUAACUACGUGCCAGCAGCCGCGGUAAUACGUAGGGGGCAAGCGUUAUCCGGAUUUACUGGGUGUAAAGGGAGCGUAGACGGCAGUGCAAGUCUGGAGUGAAAGGCGGGGGCUCAACCCCCGGACUGCUCUGGAAACUGUACGGCUGGAGUGCAGGAGAGGAAAGUGGAAUUCCGAGUGUAGCGGUGAAAGGCGUAGAUAUAAGGAGGAACACAAGUGGGGAAGGCGGCUUACUGGACCGCGACUGACGUGGAGGCUCGAAAGCGUGGGGAGCGAACAGGAUUAGAUACCCGAGGAGUC